GGCCAUAACUCAGUGGCAGAACACCUGCUUGGCAUGCAGAACGUCCCAGGUUUAUUCCCUGGCAAUUCCUGGUAGGGCUA